rnacentral:rRNA from 1 species
UUCCCUACGGGUGGCUGCAGUGGGGAAUAUUGGACAAUGGGGGCAACCCUGAUCCAGCCAUGCCGCGUGAGUGAAGAAGGCCUUCGGGUUGUAAAGCUCUUUCGACGGGGACGAUGAUGACGGUACCCGUAUAAGAAGCCCCGGCAAACUUCGUGCCAGCAGCCGCGGUAAUACGAAGGGGGCUAGCGUUGUUCGGAAUUACUGGGCGUAAAGCGCGCGUAGGCGGUGAUCUUUGUCAGAGGUGAAAGCCUGGGGCUCAACCCCAGAAUUGCCGUUGAAACGGGAUCGCUAGAGUCCGAGAGAGGAUGGCGGAAUUCCUAGUGUAGAGGUGAAAUUCGUAGAUAUUAGGAAGAACACCGGUGGCGAAGGCGGCCAUCUGGCUCGGUACUGACGCUCAGGCGCGAAAGCGUGGGGAGCAAACAGGAUUAGAUACCCUGGUAGUC